CGCCCCUUAUUGACUAUUUUUAAGUAUAUAAAGUGUAACAGAUUUUUGUACCUGUUAGAGAAAUACAGAUUUUUUUUCUUCCAGUUCAUAAAGGACAAAAUACAAGGAAAUGGAGUUUAGCUGGAAAUGAGGAAGUACUUCCUGAGAAUUAAGAUUAAGGGAGCCUCUGGAUUUCAGUGUAUGGUUAAGAAGAGAAUAGACUGGAAUGCAGAGGAAUCAGCUGAAUCUUCACAUUCUCUUUUCAAUUCACUUAAAUUAGGCUCUUACCUCCACUCCUUCCUUGAAACCACUCUCCUGGAAGUCACCAGUGAUCUUCAUGUUGCCAAAUCCACAGUCCUGUUUGUCAGGUUGUUCAGUUCUCUAUCAUCCUGCUUGACCAUCCUCAUGAGCUUCAUCAGCACAAACAAAACUCCCUUCUGGGACAUAUUCCUAAAACUCUACAGUCCUCUGGCUCUCCUUCUAUCCCACUGUGGCUCCUUUUUCGUCUUCCAACAUCUUAAUUUGGGUCUAGGAUUUCAUUUUUCUAUCUGUACUCAUUUCCUUAUUGACUUUAUCCAACCUCAUGGCUUACCAGAUACCAUCUAAAUGCUGUUGACCCUCAAAUUCACAUCUCUAAUAUAGACCUCUGCCUUGAGUUUCAGCAUUAUACGUGUCUAAAACCAAGCUCUUGAUCUUCUUCCUACCCCAUAUCUGUUCUGCCACCCCAGUCUUUCUUAUCUUAGUUAAUGGUAACCUCAUCCUUUUACUUGCUCAGGUGAGAAACCUUGGGAUCAUCCUUGACUACUUCCUCUCAUGCUCUGCUUAUAUCCCGCUCAUCAUCAAAUCUCACCUUGGCCACACCUUUGGAACAGAUCCAGUAUAUAUGACUGCUUCUUACCGCCCACAUUUACCACCCCAAUCUAAACUGUCAUCAUCUCUUUCCUGGUUUGUUGCAAUAGCUUCUUAGUAGCUUCUUGCUUUCACUCUUACCCCUCCUACAGCCUAUUCCCAGCACUUUCUUCAAAGAACCCGAAGGAUCCUGUUGAAAGCAUUGAAAAUGUCUGAGAGGCGGCCGUGCAGGAGAAUUAGAUGGAAGGACGCAUUCAACUGGAUUGGGGAGUCAAAUCAGCAAAACAGGGCAUGCUACACAAUACACAGAAUGGACAUUGGAACUGGGCAUGGAGAAGGUGAUGUGAAGGCACAUUUGGAAGCCGAAUCCCACCAGUUUGGGCUGAGAUCCGCGAGUACUUCUAAGUCAAUGAAAAGUUUUCUCAUCUCCCCAAAAGAGAUCAAUAAUCAGUUGGAAAUAGCUGCUGCUGAACAAUCUUAGACAUACCACACGAAUGAAUAUGCAUUAUGGUUUUAUUCCCUGUUGCUCUAUGCAGCUUACAUUUUCUGAUUCACAGGUUACAGUAAUGCACCCUUGUGGGCAAACAAGGAAACCUAAAUGCCAGAUACAUUUGCCCCUUAUGGUAUAGAGCUAAUUCUCUCAGGUCUCUGCAACCAUCCUGCUGUCCGUAGCACAUCAGAUCAAAUGUUCUGCUCAGCUGUAUUUUGAUUUAUAAUUAAAAUUUUGAAUCAUCUUCUUGAUUUGUGUGAAGAUUUUAAUGAAAUCUGAAGACAACAAAAAAGGCACAAAGAUUGUUGACAUCUCAUUCUACUUUGCUUACUUGUUUGCAGAUCCAGGAUAGUUCAAAUGUAAAUUUUGGAAGUUCCAUUCAAUCUACAAACUUCUCACCAAAGAAACUGAAAUGAUCUUACCUAUUAAAUGCCUACAUGCCUCAUACACAUACUCUUUUAAAAAAAAGCAUUUAAAAACAGAAGCAGUGUGAUUGUUUACCUAUGAAAUUGAGGCUUUCAUAAUCCAAGUUUUGAGUCACUUUUCCAUUUCCUCAAAAUGUGCAGAAGCAUUUAAUGAGAUGUUUGAAUUUAUAGCAAUGCAGGGAGAGAGCCUCCUAAGCAUCUUUGCCUUACAAGAUGAUGGUCAUUGUUGUCAGUAUAAAAUGAUACUAACGAAUUGGCCGGGUGUAAAAUCGUAUUUUCAAGUGUUGUGGGACAAAAGGAAUGUCCUUCUCUAAUUUGGAGUAACACUGAAGAUGAGAACGGAGGGAAAAGGACAGUAAAACAGACAUUUAUAUGCUGUUUCUUCAGAAGUUUUUAGUGAUCUUUGAUGAAGCCCUAAGAAGCCUAUGAAAGGAUAAAGUGACUGAAUCUGAGUCAUUUAGUGUUAUAUAUAGGUUGUGGCAAAAACUCAUAUGGUAAUAAAAUGACUCCUUUUUGGAAA